UAGAAUGAUAUUUUAAGUCAUUUAGUUUAUAUAAAAUAUUUCUCCUUAACCUAUUUGUUGCUGUUAUGAUGAUUUAAAAUAGGUAACUGUUGAUUAUAACAAGCGUUCGUAGCCUUCAAAGUUGAAUGUGGGUGUCGAACUCAGGUAUUUAACAGGGGACGAUGUCAUGGACAUGGAUGUAUGGAUGAACAGAAGAUGAAUGCUUGAGGGUUGAAUGGAAGGAAUGAGAGGAUCCCUUUUUGUUAACACAUAAAUAUUUAGGAAAAGAGUAUGAGGUUAGAUAAAUGUUGAUGAAUCAGCAGUGCGAUAGAAGUGAUGUCCUUUUUUACUUUUUCUGUGAAUAAAUAAUUGAAUUUCACAAAGUUUAGGUCCUUUUUUGCUUGAAUUCAAAUGACAUUGUUUUGUAAUCAAUUUUUCGGUUGAUGGAUUCUGCAUACUAAAUUACAAUGGUAUAGACAACCCGUUGCGCAACACGUGGUGGCACUAUUUUAUGCUUAUAAGCUAUGAAGGAGUAAUGUCUGGCCUUAUUGUAUGUGGCCUCCAGUUUCGACCAAUCAGAGAGUAUGAGGCAAUCAAGUAUCACAUGCUCUGAUGACUAAUCGAAAAGGUUAAUGGCAUGCAAGGAACUAACAAUUUUUAUUGAAGAUGAUUAUAGUGCUCUAGUGGUGGCCACGGGUAUUUAAGUUCCACUUAUGGUGGGCCCGGGUGAGUUUUCUCCUCAAGGUCUCAAGUUCGAGUCUUGGUAAUAGGGGUUUCUCAUUGAGGGGUUUAAAUUGGGGAUCU